rnacentral:rRNA from 1 species
UACGGAGGGUGCGAGCGUUGUCCGGAAUCACUGGGCGUAAAGGGCGCGUAGGCGGCGCGGGUAGUCAUCGGUGAAAGUUCAGGGCUCAACUCUGAAUCGGCCGGUGAUACUCCCGUGCUCGAGCACUGUAGAGGCAGGUGGAAUUCCGGGUGUAGCGGUGGAAUGCGUAGAGAUCCGGAAGAACACCGGUGGCGAAGGCGGCCUGCUGGGCAGUAGCUGACGCUGAGGCGCGAAAGCGUGGGGAGCAAACAGG